rnacentral:tRNA from 2 species
GCUCCCGUAGCUCAGUGGAUAGAGUAGAGGUUUCCUAAACCUUUGGUCGGAGGUUCAACUCCUCUCGGGAGUACAA